rnacentral:rRNA from 1 species
AUUGAACGCUGGCGGCAUGCCUUACACAUGCAAGUCGAACGGUAACGGGCCUUCGGGUGCCGACGAGUGGCGAACGGGUGAGUAAUGCAUCGGAACGUACCUUUCAGUGGGGGAUAACGUAGCGAAAGUUACGCUAAUACCGCAUAUUCUGUGAGCAGGAAAGCAGGGGGAUCGCAAGACCUUGCGCUGAUUGAGCGGCCGAUGUCAGAUUAGCUAGUUGGUGAGGUAAAGGCUCACCAAGGCGACGAUCUGUAGCGGGUCUGAGAGGAUGAUCCGCCACACUGGAACUGAGACACGGUCCAGACUCCUACGGGAGGCAGCAGUGGGGAAUUUUGGACAAUGGGGGCAACCCUGAUCCAGCCAUGCCGCGUGAGUGAAGAAGGCCUUCGGGUCGUAAAGCUCUUUCGGCCGGGAAGAAAUCGCAUGGGUUAAUACCCUGUGCGGAUGACGGUACCGGCAUAAGAAGCACCGGCUAACUACGUG